AGAGUUUGAUCAUGGCUCAGAUUGAACGCUGGCGGCAGGCCUAACACAUGCAAGUCGAACGGUAGCGGGAAGAAGCUUGCUUCUUUGCCGACGAGUGGCGGACGGGUGAGUAAUGUCUGGGAAACUGCCCGAUGGAGGGGGAUAACUACUGGAAACGGUAGCUAAUACCGCAUAACGUCUACGGACCAAAGUGGGGGACCUUCGGGCCUCACACCAUCGGAUGUGCCCAGAUGGGAUUAGCUAGUAGGUGGGGUAACGGCUCACCUAGGCGACGAUCCCUAGCUGGUCUGAGAGGAUGACCAGCCACACUGGAACUGAGACACGGUCCAGACUCCUACGGGAGGCAGCAGUGGGGAAUAUUGCACAAUGGGCGCAAGCCUGAUGCAGCCAUGCCGCGUGUAUGAAGAAGGCCUUCGGGUUGUAAAGUACUUUCAGCGGGGAGGAAGGGUAAAAGAUUAAUAACCUUUUUCAUUGACGUUACCCGCAGAAGAAGCACCGGCUAACUCCGUGCCAGCAGCCGCGGUAAUACGGAGGGUGCAAGCGUUAAUCGGAAUUACUGGGCGUAAAGCGCACGCAGGCGGUCUGUCAAGUCGGAUGUGAAAUCCCCGGGCUUAACCUGGGAACUGCAUUCGAAACUGGCAGGCUAGAGUCUUGUAGAGGGGGGUAGAAUUCCAGGUGUAGCGGUGAAAUGCGUAGAGAUCUGGAGGAAUACCGGUGGCGAAGGCGGCCCCCUGGACAAAGACUGACGCUCAGGUGCGAAAGCGUGGGGAGCAAACAGGAUUAGAUACCCUGGUAGUCCACGCCGUAAACGAUGUCGACUUGGAGGCUGUUCCCCUGAGGAGUGGCUUCCGGAGCUAACGCGUUAAGUCGACCGCCUGGGGAGUACGGCCGCAAGGUUAAAACUCAAAUGAAUUGACGGGGGCCCGCACUAAGCGGUGGAGCAUGUGGUUUAAUUCGAUGCAACGCGAAGAACCUUACCUGGCCUUGACAUCCACGGAAUUUUGCAGAGAUGCGGAAGUGCCUUCGGGAACCGUGAGACAGGUGCUGCAUGGCUGUCGUCAGCUCGUGUUGUGAAAUGUUGGGUUAAGUCCCGCAACGAGCGCAACCCUUAUCCUUUGUUGUCCAGCGAUUCGGUCGGGAACUCAAAGGAGACUGCCGGUGAUAAACCGGAGGAAGGUGGGGAUGACGUCAAGUCAUCAUGGCCCUUACGGCCAGGGCUACACACGUGCUACAAUGGCGCAUACAAAGAGAAGCGACCUCGCGAGAGCAAGCGGACCUCAUAAAGUGCGUCGUAGUCCGGAUCGGAGUCUGCAACUCGACUCCGUGAAGUCGGAAUCGCUAGUAAUCGUAGAUCAGAAUGCUACGGUGAAUACGUUCCCGGGCCUUGUACACACCGCCCGUCACACCAUGGGAGUGGGUUGCAAAAGAAGUAGGUAGCUUAACCUUCGGGAGGGCGCUUACCACUUUGUGAUUCAUGACUGGGGUGAAGUCGUAACAAGGUAACCGUAGGGGAACCUGCGGUUGGAUCACCUCCUUA
rnacentral:rRNA from 1 species